rnacentral:rRNA from 1 species
GACGAACGCUGGCGGCGUGCUUAACACAUGCAAGUCGAACGGAAAGGCCCAGCUUGCUGGGUGCUCGAGUGGCGAACGGGUGAGUAACACGUGGGUGCUCUGCCCCUAACUUCGGGAUAAGCUUGGGAAACUGGGUCUAAUACCGGAUAGGACAAUCGUUUAGUGUCGGUUGUGGAAAGUUUUUUCGGUUAGGGAUGAUCUCGGGGCCUAUCAGCUUGUUGGUGGGGUAAUGGCCUACCAAGGCGUCGACGGGUAGCCGGCCUGGGAGGGUGGACGGCCACAUUGGGACUGAGAUACGGCCCAGACUCCUACGGGAGGCAGCAGUGGGGAAUAUUGCACAAUGGGCGCAAGCCUGAUGCAGCGACGCCGCGUGGGGGAUGACGGCCUUCGGGUUGUAAACCUCUUUCGACAGGGACGAAGCUUUGGUGACGGUACCUGUAUAAGAAGCACCGGCUAACUACGUG